ACAUUACCUAGUUACAUGUAGGUUGUAUUGCUGAGACUAGGCAGUGAUUCAGCAACAUAUGAUAAAGUUUAACACUCUUAUGGGCUUGACCAAACCAAGUGAUAGACAAGAAAGCCAGCUGCAGCCUAUGUGGAUUAAUGAGCAUCGCCUAGGAGUUUGGAAUGAAGUGCUGAUUACUCUGGACCAUGACUAUGGGGGAAAAAUCUUUCAUCCUGCCUUCUGACAAAAGCAUUUUUUAAUCCGACUUGUCUAGCUGUAGCAGUGAAGGAUUUUUAGUUAACGGAAGCUGUAAAAUCCACCAGGAAGUGCAGUUUGCUUGGAAUGGGAUGUUGCACAUCUAUCCCAAGAGAAGAUGCAUGUGCCUCAAGUGUGGAGAAUGCUCAUACAAAAGCCCAUUCUAUUUAAGGCUGGCUGUACACAUUAUGGCAUGCAAAGGGGCAAUGUAGGAAGAAGGCUUGUGAGCAAUACUAGAAAUGCAAGAAGAAAUUCAAGUUGCUCAUGUGCCCACUUCUCCAUAGUUUUUCUGCACAUUGUAAUGUGUGCAGCUAGCCUUACAGACAAUAAACUUUCCUGAUUAAUAGCUUGUAGUAUUGAAGAGUGUUGCAAAUCUUGUCUGUGAAGUAGACUCAAGAUAUAAUACAAUUUUUAUGAACUUGGAUGGUCAUCUUUUGUAAUUGCUCAAUGCCCGGAGCUCUUACAGACUAAAGCAUAUUUUCCAAAAUGAGCCAGCAGCUGUUUCUGACACAUACAUUUUCACCCAUCCACAGCCAAUGAGCUUCAAGGGUGAGGUGGAUAAAUAGGUAUUUGUAUUUGCAUUUCUUGAUCUUUUCUGCAUCUCUCAAGACAACACACCUGGCCCUUAGAGUACUUUAUAAUGUGGUAUUGAUACAUGGCAUUUAAGUAGCUAUACUGUACCUGCAAUCCUGCACACAUUUACCUAGGAAUAAGCCUCAUUGACUAUAGUGGAUACAUACAAUGAAAUACAAUGUGACUCAAAGGUUUAUGCUAUAAACACACUUAGACUGUGGCUCAUAGGUUUUCAGGAUAGUGGAGAUAUGAGGUGGGGGACAAACCGCAGCAUAUUGCACCACAUCUAUAUAUUGUAUACAAUUGUAUUUACAGUGUGAAACUGCUGCUAUAAGUCACAAUGCUGCUGCUGUUUGUCUGCUACAGUUAGACAAAAUGAGUUUUCAGCAAUAAAAAGUUAGCAUGCUAUAGUGUCCUGAAGUAUUUUCACUUUGAGUAACAGACCUGGAACAAUCCCAGAUGCCUAGCACCCAGUUGCCCAGGAAUUUCAUAUUAUGUUGAGCCCUUUGUAGAAUUAAUUCCUAAACAUUUUAUGUUGGUGCCUAAGGAAUCUGAAAUAUUUUAUCAAGCUUGCUUGUAAGUAUCAUUUACAAACCUCCAGGGAGCCUCCUAUUGAUAACCAAGGAUAAAGGUAGUUACUUAAUUACAUUUAUCAGCAAUUAAAACUAGUUUGAGUCUGUCUUUGUGGGCAUGCCAGUGGUUUUUGCCUUUGGGAACUUGUUCUAGAGUGUAGUGCCAGCCACCCACCUCUUCAGGCCUGCUCAUACUAGUGUUGUCUGACAGAGUGAUUUAAAAUCAGGACAGGAAUUUCCCUGACUACAUUUAGUACAAUCCAAAACUUAAUUUAUGGAGCAUUUUAUUAAUUGGUGUGUGGCAAGUGACCAUCAGCUGUUAUGAGUGUGUAUGACCAAUAUAGUCACAGGGUUUCAGCUAUUCAAGAGCUGGAAUCAUUACAAAAAUUAUAUACCCUUUCCUUAAGGUAUCUGAAGGUACUAGUUUAGCAUAUAACUCCAUAGCAAAUCAAGUUCAAAAAUGCGUUUAAUUAGGUUCCUGUGUUUCAACUGGUAGCUCACUUCUGUGAUAACACAAGGCUGUACAAUAAUGUUGUCCUGUUUUGGGAGAAAAAAAAUGUUACAUCCAUCCUUUAGGCAGUCUGCUCCCCUGCCCAUCAAGUGUAUUAAGCCAGAUUAAUGUUGCUGUAGACAUUUUCCACAUAGUAAUCUGUUCAGCUGAA